rnacentral:rRNA from 1 species
GAUGAACGCUGGCGGCGUGCCUAAUACAUGCAAGUCGAGCGAACAGACGAGGAGCUUGCUCCUCUGACGUUAGCGGCGGACGGGUGAGUACACGUGGUUAACCUUACUUUAAGGAUGGGAUUACUUCGGGAAACCGGGGCCUAUACCGGAAAAAUUUAUGGACCGCAUGGUUCCAUAGUUAAAGUCGGUUUUUCUGUUACUUAUAGAUGGAUCCGCGCCGCAUUAGCUAGUUGGUAAGGUAACGGCUUACCAAGGCAACGAUGCGUAGCCGACCUGAGAGGGUGAUCGGCCACACUGGAACUGAGACACGGUCCAGACUCCUACGGGAGGCAGCAGUAGGGAAUCUUCCGCAAUGGGCGAAAGCCUGACGGAGCAACGCCGCGUGAGUGAUGAAGGUCUUCGGAUCGUAAAACUCUGUUAUUAGGGAAGAACAAAUGUGUAAGUAACUAUGCACGUCUUGACGGUACCUAAUCAGAAAGCCACGGCUAACUACGUG